UUAGGUAGGCAGGGUGAGAAUCCCAAGGCGCUUGAGAGAACUCGGGUGAAGGAACUAGGCAAAAUGGCACCGUAACUUCGGGAGAAGGUGCGCCCUUUGGUGUGGUCACGUGCGUGACUGAGCAUCGAAGGGUCGCAGUAACCUGGCCGCUGCGACUGUUUAUCAAAAACACAGCACUCUGCAAACACGAAAGUGGACGUAUAGGGUGUGACGCCUGCCCGGUGCUGGAAGGUUAAUUGAUGGGGUCAGCCGCAAGGCGAAGCUCUUGAUCGAAGCCCCAGUAAACGGCGGCCGUAACAAUAACGGUCCUAAGGUAGCGAAAUUCCUUGUCGGGUAAGUUCCGACCUGCACGAAUGGCGUAACGACAGCGGCGCUGUCUCCACCCGAGACUCAGUGAAAUUGAAAUCGCUGUGAAGAUGCAGCGUUCCCGCGGCAAGACGGAAAGACCCCGUGAACCUUUACUAUAGCUUUACACUGAACGUUGAGUUCUUCUGUGUAGGAUAGGUGGGAGGCUAUGAAACCAGGACGCUAGUUCUGGUGGAGCCAUCCUUGAAAUACCACCCUGAAGUGCUUGACGUUCUAACCUAGGCCCGUAAUCCGGGUCAGGGACCGUGUAUGGUGGGUAGUUUGACUGGGGCGGUCUCCUCCCAAAGAGUAACGGAGGAGCACGAAGGUACGCUCAGCGCGGUCGGACAUCGCGCACUGUGUGCAAAGGCAUAAGCGUGCUUGACUGCGAGAUCGACGGAUCAAGCAGGUACGAAAGUAGGUCUUAGUGAUCCGGUGGUUCUGUAUGGAAGGGCCAUCGCUCAACGGAUAAAAGGUACUCCGGGGAUAACAGGCUGAUACCGCCCAAGAGUUCAUAUCGACGGCGGUGUUUGGCACCUCGAUGUCGGCUCAUCACAUCCUGGGGCUGUAGCCGGUCCCAAGGGUAUGGCUGUUCGCCAUUUAAAGUGGUACGCGAGCUGGGUUCAGAACGUCGUGAGACAGUUCGGUCCCUAUCUGUCGUGGGCGUUGGAGAUUUGAGGGGGGCUGCUCCUAGUACGAGAGGACCGGAGUGGACGUUCCGCUGGUGUUCGGGUUGUCAUGCCCAUGGCAUUGCCCGGUAGCUACGAACGGAAGUGAUAACCGCUGAAAGCAUCUAAGCGGGAAGCACGCCCCAAGAUGAGAUCUCCCGAGAGCUUGACUCUCCUAAAGGCACCAUCAAGACUAGGUGGUUGAUAGGUCAGGUGUGGAAGCGCAGCAAUGCGUUGAGCUAACUGAUACUAAUGAGCCGUGAGGCUUGAGC
rnacentral:rRNA from 1 species